rnacentral:rRNA from 1 species
AACGUAGGAGGCAAGCGUUAUCCGGAGUUACUGGGCGUAAAGCGCAAGUAGGCGGUUGUGCAAGUUGGUUGUGAAAGCGCCCGGCUAAACUGGGCGAGGCCGAUCAAGACUGCACGGCUAGAGAGUGCUAGAGGGGCGCAGAAUUCGGGGUGUAGCGGUGAAAUGUGUAGAGAUCCCGAGGAAUACCAGUGGGGAAGCCGGCGCCCUGGGGCAUAUCUGACGCUGAGAUGCGAAAGCGUGGGGAGCGAACGGG